UACGGAGGGUGCAAACGUUGCUCGGAAUCAUUGGGCGUAAGGCGCACGUAGGCGGCGAAGCAAGUUGGGUGUGAAAGCCCUAGGCUCAACCCAGGAAGUGCAUUCAAAACUGCUUCGCUUGAAUCUCGGAGGGGGUCAGAGAAUUCCCGGUGUAGAGGUGAAAUUCGUAGAUAUCGGGAGGAAUACCAGUGGCGAAGGCGCUGACCUGGACGAAGAUUGACGCUGAGGUGCGAAAGCGCGGGGAGCAAACAGG
rnacentral:rRNA from 1 species